rnacentral:rRNA from 1 species
UACGUAGGGAGCAAGCGUUGUCCGGAAUCAUUGGGCGUAAAGCGCGCGUAGGUGGCCCCAUAAGUCCGCUGUGAAAGUCAAAGGCUCAACCUUUGAAAGCCGGUGGAUACUGUGGGACUAGAGUACGGAAGAGGCGAGUGGAAUUCCUGGUGUAGCGGUGAAAUGCGCAGAUAUCAGGAGGAACACCAAUUGCGAAGGCAGCUCGCUGGAACGUUACUGACGCUGAGACGCGAAAGCGUGGGGAGCAAACAGG